rnacentral:rRNA from 1 species
AACGAACGCUGGCGGCAUGCCUAACACAUGCAAGUCGAACGAAGCCUUCGGGCUUAGUGGCGCACGGGUGCGUAACGCGUGGGAAUCUGCCUCUUGCUUCGGAAUAACAGUUAGAAAUGACUGCUAAUACCGGAUGAUGUCCCCCUGAGAGAUCUUGGGGACCAAAGAUUUAUCGGCAAGAGAUGAGCCCGCGUAGGAUUAGGUAGUUGGUGGGGUAAAGGCCUACCAAGCCGACGAUCCUUAGCUGGUCUGAGAGGAUGAUCAGCCACACUGGGACUGAGACACGGCCCAGACUACUACGGGAGGCAGCAGUGGGGAAUAUUGGACAAUGGACGCAAGUCUGAUCCAGCAAUGCCGCGUGAGUGAUGAAGGCCUUAGGGUUGUAAAGCUCUUUUACCAGGGAUGAUAAUGACAGUACCUGGAGAAUAAGCUCCGGCUAACUCCGUGCCAGCCGCCGCAGUAAUAC